rnacentral:precursor_RNA from 1 species
AGCAAAGGAUAAAGCUGGGAUGUGUCAGGUAGGCAGUGUAUUGCUAGCGGCUGUUAAUGAUUUUAACAGUUGCUAGUUGCACUCCUCUCUGUUGCAUUCAGAAGCACGCCCCCCAAAG